UUAGGGCAAAAGAGAAGAGGGCAAGACGGUAUUCCGGCAUCCAGUGAGCUGUGUAGCGUCGUAGCCACGAAGGUUCACCCCUUCGUAAAUUAGGUUAUUUCCCUGUCUCACGAGCAUCUGUCCUCAGCUCUUCCCCUCCAAUUCGGCUCUCUUCUACCUAUCGCUCUUCAACAGACUUUUUUGAGAGACUUACACGAUUAAGGUUGCGAUUGGGAUUGGGUGGGGACACCAGAGAUCCGUUUUCGUACUUUAAUUUGUAAGUUUUCCUAUUGUUUCUUGUUUAUUUGUCUUAAUUCUUGUUGCUUCUUGACUAUUUAUCGGUUAUUCAUGUUACAAUGUCUUGCUACGAUUUUCGGUUUCGGCUGUUCCCCUCGAAUUCGGCUCUGGGGUUUCUCUUCUACCUACCGUUCUUCAACAGGUAGGUUUAGUCUUCUUCUGUUACCAGUCAGUUUACUGCUUUCUUACAUUGUAUUAAUCGCUCUCUGAUUUGUGUUAUAAGACUUUUUUGAGAGACUUACACGAUUAAGGUUGCGACUGGAAUUGGGCACACCAGAGAUCUUUUUUUUUUUUAAAGUGAAAUAUAUGUAUAUAUAUAUAUAUGUCUAUCUUAAUUACUUUAAUCAUAAUUAAAUAGGUUUUCAUUCAUUACUUCGAUCUUUUUUUUUCUUUUUGUUUAUUCGGUUAAAAAGUUUUGUUAGUUUGUCAAUUUGAUGGAGUUGCGAAUAAAUUCCAAAACUUGAAUUUGGGUUGCUGGAAAGGAAGGAAAAGUUGGUCACCCAAAAUACAUUGGCAGUGGA